GGAGCCAUCAUCUAAUGGUUAGGAUACAAGAUUUUCAACCUUGAAAUAGGGGUUCAAUUCCCCUUGGCUCUUCA
rnacentral:tRNA from 1 species